rnacentral:rRNA from 1 species
AGCGUACACGGUGGAUGCCCUGGCAGUCAGAGGCGAUGAAGGACGUGCUAAUCUGCGAUAAGCGUCGGUAAGGUGAUAUGAACCGUUAUAACCGGCGAUUUCCGAAUGGGGAAACCCAGUGUGUUUCGACACACUAUCAUUAACUGAAUCCAUAGGUUAAUGAGGCGAACCGGGGGAACUGAAACAUCUAAGUACCCCGAGGAAAAGAAAUCAACCGAGAUUCCCCCAGUAGCGGCGAGCGAACGGGGAGCAGCCCAGAGCCUGAAUCAGUGUGUGUGUUAGUGGAAGCGUCUGGAAAGGCGCGCGAUACAGGGUGACAGCCCCGUACACAAAAAUGCACAUAUUGUGAGCUCGAUGAGUAGGGCGGGACACGUGGUAUCCUGUCUGAAUAUGGGGGGACCAUCCUCCAAGGCUAAAUACUCCUGACUGACCGAUAGUGAACCAGUACCGUGAGGGAAAGGCGAAAAGAACCCCGGCGAGGGGAGUGAAAAAGAACCUGAAACCGUGUACGUACAAGCAGUGGGAGCCUCUUUUAUGGGGUGACUGCGUACCUUUUGUAUAAUGGGUCAGCGACUUAUAUUCUGUAGCAAGGUUAACCGAAUAGGGGAGCCGAAGGGAAACCGAGUCUUAACUGGGCGUUAAGUUGCAGGGUAUAGACCCGAAACCCGGUGAUCUAGCCAUGGGCAGGUUGAAGGUUGGGUAACACUAACUGGAGGACCGAACCGACUAAUGUUGAAAAAUUAGCGGAUGACUUGUGGCUGGGGGUGAAAGGCCAAUCAAACCGGGAGAUAGCUGGUUCUCCCCGAAAGCUAUUUAGGUAGCGCCUCGUGAAUUCAUCUCCGGGGGUAGAGCACUGUUUCGGCAAGGGGGUCAUCCCGACUUACCAACCCGAUGCAAACUGCGAAUACCGGAGAAUGUUAUCACGGGAGACACACGGCGGGUGCUAACGUCCGUCGUGAAGAGGGAAACAACCCAGACCGCCAGCUAAGGUCCCAAAGUCAUGGUUAAGUGGGAAACGAUGUGGGAAGGCCCAGACAGCCAGGAUGUUGGCUUAGAAGCAGCCAUCAUUUAAAGAAAGCGUAAUAGCUCACUGGUCGAGUCGGCCUGCGCGGAAGAUGUAACGGGGCUAAACCAUGCACCGAAGCUGCGGCAGCGACGCUGAUGCGUUGUUGGGUAGGGGAGCGUUCUGUAAGCCUGUGAAGGUGUGCUGUGAGGCAUGCUGGAGGUAUCAGAAGUGCGAAUGCUGACAUAAGUAACGAUAAAGCGGGUGAAAAGCCCGCUCGCCGGAAGACCAAGGGUUCCUGUCCAACGUUAAUCGGGGCAGGGUGAGUCGACCCCUAAGGCGAGGCCGAAAGGCGUAGUCGAUGGGAAACAGGUUAAUAUUCCUGUACUUGGUGUUACUGCGAAGGGGGGACGGAGAAGGCUAUGUUGGCCGGGCGACGGUUGUCCCGGUUUAAGCGUGUAGGCUGGUUUUCCAGGCAAAUCCGGAAAAUCAAGGCUGAGGCGUGAUGACGAGGCACUACGGUGCUGAAGCAACAAAUGCCCUGCUUCCAGGAAAAGCCUCUAAGCAUCAGGUAACAUCAAAUCGUACCCCAAACCGACACAGGUGGUCAGGUAGAGAAUACCAAGGCGCUUGAGAGAACUCGGGUGAAGGAACUAGGCAAAAUGGUGCCGUAACUUCGGGAGAAGGCACGCUGAUAUGUAGGUGAAGCGACUUGCUCGUGGAGCUGAAAUCAGUCGAAGAUACCAGCUGGCUGCAACUGUUUAUUAAAAACACAGCACUGUGCAAACACGAAAGUGGACGUAUACGGUGUGACGCCUGCCCGGUGCCGGAAGGUUAAUUGAUGGGGUCAGCGCAAGCGAAGCUCUUGAUCGAAGCCCCGGUAAACGGCGGCCGUAACUAUAACGGUCCUAAGGUAGCGAAAUUCCUUGUCGGGUAAGUUCCGACCUGCACGAAUGGCGUAAUGAUGGCCAGGCUGUCUCCACCCGAGACUCAGUGAAAUUGAACUCGCUGUGAAGAUGCAGUGUACCCGCGGCAAGACGGAAAGACCCCGUGAACCUUUACUAUAGCUUGACACUGAACAUUGAGCCUUGAUGUGUAGGAUAGGUGGGAGGCUUGGAAGUGUGGACGCCAGUCUGCAUGGAGCCGACCUUGAAAUACCACCCUUUAAUGUUUGAUGUUCUAACGUUGACCCGUAAUCCGGGUUGCGGACAGUGUCUGGUGGGUAGUUUGACUGGGGCGGUCUCCUCCUAAAGAGUAACGGAGGAGCACGAAGGUUGGCUAAUCCUGGUCGGACAUCAGGAGGUUAGUGCAAUGGCAUAAGCCAGCUUGACUGCGAGCGUGACGGCGCGAGCAGGUGCGAAAGCAGGUCAUAGUGAUCCGGUGGUUCUGAAUGGAAGGGCCAUCGCUCAACGGAUAAAAGGUACUCCGGGGAUAACAGGCUGAUACCGCCCAAGAGUUCAUAUCGACGGCGGUGUUUGGCACCUCGAUGUCGGCUCAUCACAUCCUGGGGCUGAAGUAGGUCCCAAGGGUAUGGCUGUUCGCCAUUUAAAGUGGUACGCGAGCUGGGUUUAGAACGUCGUGAGACAGUUCGGUCCCUAUCUGCCGUGGGCGCUGGAGAACUGAGGGGGGCUGCUCCUAGUACGAGAGGACCGGAGUGGACGCAUCACUGGUGUUCGGGUUGUCAUGCCAAUGGCACUGCCCGGUAGCUAAAUGCGGAAGAGAUAAGUGCUGAAAGCAUCUAAGCACGAAACUUGCCCCGAGAUGAGUUCU